CCUACGGGAGGCAGCAGUGGGGGAUAUUGCACAAUGGGGGGAACCCUGAUGCAGCGACGCCGCGUGGGUGAAGGAGCGUUUCGGCGCGUAAAGCCCUAUCGGCAGGGAAGAAGGAGGACGGUACCUGACUAAGAAGCCCCGGCUAACUACGUGCCAGCAGCCGCGGUAAUACGUAGGGGGCAAGCGUUAUCCGGAUUUACUGGGUGUAAAGGGAGCGCAGGCGGGAAGCCAAGUCAGCUGUGAAAACUACGGGCUUAACUUGUAGACUGCAGUUGAAACUGGUUUUCUUGAGUGAAGUAGAGGUUGGCGGAAUUCCGAGUGUAGCGGUGAAAUGCGUAGAUAUUCGGAGGAACACCGGUGGCGAAGGCGGCCAACUGGGCUUUAACUGACGCUGAGGCUCGAAAGUGUGGGGAGCAAACAGGAUUAGAUACCCGAGUAGUC
rnacentral:rRNA from 1 species